rnacentral:pre_miRNA from 1 species
UACAUACUCCCUCCGUUCGGAAUUACUCGUCCAAUAAAUGAAUGUAUCUAAAUGUAUUUUAGUUGUAGAUACAUCUAUUUUUGUGACAAGUAAUUCAGAACGGAUGGAGUACAUA